rnacentral:rRNA from 1 species
UUCGUAGGCGGUGCGGCAAGUCGGAAGUGAAAUCUCUGGGCUUAACUCAGAGGCUGCUCCCGAAACUGCCGUGCUAGAGUGCGGGAGAGGCGAGUGGAAUUACAGGUGUAGCGGUGAAAUGCGUAGAUAUCUGUAGGAACACCCGUGGCGAAGGCGGCUCGCUGGACCGCAACUGACGCUGAGGAACGAAAGCUAGGGGAGCAAACAGGAUUAGAUACCCUGGUAGUCCUAGCCCUAAACGAUCAGGACUUGGGGUGCAUCCCGUCGGGAUGCGUCCCGUAGCUAACGCGUUAAGUCCUGCGCCUGGGGAGUACGGUCGCAAGGCUGAA